GAUGAACGCUGGCGGCGUGCCUAAUACAUGCAAGUCGAGCGAACAGACGAGGAGCUUGCUCCUUUGACGUUAGCGGCGGACGGGUGAGUAACACGUAGGUAACCUACCUAUAAGACUGGGAUAACUUCGGGAAACCGGAGCUAAUACCGGAUAAUAUUUCGAACCGCAUGGUUCGAUAGUGAAAGAUGGCUUUGCUAUCACUUAUAGAUGGACCUGCGCCGUAUUAGCUAGUUGGUAAGGUAACGGCUUACCAAGGCAACGAUACGUAGCCGACCUGAGAGGGUGAUCGGCCACACUGGAACUGAGACACGGUCCAGACUCCUACGGGAGGCAGCAGUAGGGAAUCUUCCGCAAUGGGCGAAAGCCUGACGGAGCAACGCCGCGUGAGUGAUGAAGGUCUUCGGAUCGUAAAACUCUGUUAUUAGGGAGGAACAAACGUGUAAGUAACUGUGCACGUCUUGACGGUACCUAAUCAGAAAGCCACGGCUAACUACGUG
rnacentral:rRNA from 1 species